rnacentral:rRNA from 1 species
UACGUAGGUGGCAAGCGUUGUCCGGAUUUACUGGGCGUAAAGAGCGCGCAGGCGGUCGUUCAAGUCGCGUGUGAAAGCCCCCGGCUCAACUGGGGAGGGUCACGCGAUACUGAUCGACUCGAAGGCAGGAGAGGGAAGUGGAAUUCCCGGUGUAGUGGUGAAAUGCGUAGAUAUCGGGAGGAACACCAGUGGCGAAGGCGGCUCUCUGGACAGGUACUGACACUGAGACGCGAAAGCGUGGGUAGCAAACAGG